rnacentral:rRNA from 1 species
UCGGAUCGCAGGCUGNAACCCGCCUGCGUGAAGUCGGAAUCGCUAGUAAUCGCGGAUCAGCAUGCCGCGGUGAAUACGUUCCCGGGCCUUGUACACACCGCCCGUCACACCAUGAGAGUCGGGAACACCCGAAGUCCGUAGCCUAACUUUAACGAGAGGGCGCGGCCGAAGGUGGGUUCGAUAAUUGGGUGAAGUCGUAACAAGGUAAC